rnacentral:rRNA from 1 species
UACGUAGGGACCAAGCGUUGUUCGGAUUUACUGGGCGUAAAGGGCGCGUAGGCGGUGUUGUAAGUCACUUGUGAAAUCUCCGGGCUUAACUCGGAGCGGUCAAGUGAUACUGUCGUGCUAGAGUGCGGAGGGGGCAACUGGAAUUCUCGGUGUAGCGGUGAAAUGCGUAGAUAUCGAGAGGAACACCUGCGGCGAAGGCGGGUUGCUGGGCCGACACUGACGCUGAGGCGCGAAAGCUAGGGGAGCGAACGGG